UACGGAGGGCGCAAGCGUUGUUCUGAAUUACUGGGCGUAAAGCGCGUGUAGGCGGCCAGGUAAGUCGGAUGUGAAAGCCCGGGGCCUAACCCCGGAACUGCACCCGAUACUGCCUGGCUGGAGUCCCGGAGAGGAUGGCGGAAUUUCCGGUGUAGAGGUGAAAUUCGUAGAUAUCGGAAGGAACACCAGUGGCGAAGGCGGCCAUCUGGACGGUGACUGACGCUGAGACGCGAAAGCGUGGGGAGCAAACAGG
rnacentral:rRNA from 1 species